AAAAGCAGUGAGCACAGCAAGUCGGACCCCACAUCCUGGGUCCAAGUAUGUUUGCAGAUGGAUGAAUCAGAGAAAAACAAAAUUUUUUUAAAUGUUUGUUUCUUAGUUUUAGGUGGACACAAUAACUUCAUUUGACAUUUUUGUGGUGCUGAGGAUCGAACCCAGUGCCCCCUGCAUGUAGGCAAGCUCUCUGCCACUGAGCCACAACUCCAGCCACAAAUUUUUAAUAAUUCUUAAAAACAAAGAUGGAGUCACUAUGGCUCUACUUACUAUUUUACUAAUCCAUAGUUUUUAAUCUAUAAUCAAUAACUUAUCAAUUGUGUUGAUUGAUCCAGACCAUAACAGAAUGAGUGCACCACAUGCCUGGAGUCCGGGGGACAGAGGUUUGUAUUUGUCUGCUAAAGUCUUACAUUUCAUAUUUCAGCUUGUGAGGUCCAUUUUGAAAACACCAAAGUCCCCGUGGAAAAUGUCCUUGGAGAAAUUGGAGGUGGCUUUACGGAGAAUUCGCCCUGAUGGCUCAGAAGGCUUACGUCAUGGAAAGCAUGGCCUACCUCACGGUGGGCAUGCUCAACCAGCCCGAGCUACCUGACUGCUCCGUGGAGGCAGCCAUGGUGAAGGUGUUCAGCUCCGAGAGUGCCUGGCAAUGCGUCAGCGAGGUGCUGCAGAUCCUGGGGGGCUUGGGGUACAUGAAGGACUACCCCUAUGAGUGCAUGCUGCGUGACGCCUGCAUCCUCCUCAUCUUCGAGGUGAGACC